rnacentral:rRNA from 1 species
UACGUAGGGUGCAAGCGUUGUCCGGAUUUAUUGGGCGUAAAGAGCGUGUAGGCGGCCACACAAGUCCGUUGUGAAAACUAGAGGCUUAACCUCUAGACGUCGAUGGAAACUGUUUGGCUAGAGUCCGGAAGAGGAGAAUGGAAUUCCUGGUGUAGCGGUGAAAUGCGCAGAUAUCAGGAAGAACACCCGUGGCUAAGGCGGUUCUCUAGUACGGUACUGACGCUGAGACGCGAAAGCGUGGGGAGCGAACAGG